GGGGUUGUGGCUCAGUGGUACAGUGCUCACCAAGCACGUGAGGGGUGCUGGGUUCGAUUCUCAGCACCACA
rnacentral:tRNA from 1 species